CAGAUACUUCCAUCGCCUUCUGAAGGGCUAAAGCAUUAAAAAUAGAACUUCAAUGGACCUUUUAUGCGACAUCUUCUUGAAGGCAAUCAUAGUGUCUGCUAUGCUCUUUCUAACGAACCAUAAGAUCACAUCUGGAACCUUUAGGAGAAUUUCAAGCGAACUUUCAAUGCAAUUCGAUAAUUUAUAGUUUGUGAUAGCCAAGAGAAAGUGAGUUUCACCACCAGGAGGAAAAAUUGCUAACGGCCCUUGGCGAGCAUCAGCAACCGACCGGACCUGGUCAGGAAAAACUUAUAUCACCAUGGAUAUAAUGAAAACCAGGCAGUUCCGCCUGAGCGAGGCAAUUGUUACUCUUCAUCAAUCAUUUUCCCGUCUGCGAAAUAGGAAAUCCUUAUGGUCAAGACCGGUGUUCUUAAGCCUCCCAACCAGCUUUAAUGCGGAUCAUCAUCACCAAAUAUCCCAUUUCGAAAUUCCUAGAGAAUCCAAUCAAAGUCAGCAACUUUGACCGGGGAGGUAGUUCUUGUGGCAAGUAUUUUAAUCUGUGUUUGGCUAUGCUGGCGAUUUGGACACAUUCACAUGGUUCCGGAAGGCCGAGCCACUGGACAAGCAAUGGUUUGUCGCAAUUUUUUUUAUUUUAAAAUAUUGUGUGUAAAUUUUAUUGGUGUUGAAAAACGUGCGAUUGAAAAAAAACUCGAAUAAAUAAAAAUUCUGAUGAGAAA